rnacentral:rRNA from 1 species
GUAGGGAAUCUUCGGCAAUGGACGAAAGUCUGACCGAGCAACGCCGCGUGAGUGAAGAAGGUUUUCGGAUCGUAAAACUCUGUUGGUAGAGAAGAACGUUGGUGAGAGUGGAAAGCUCAUCAAGUGACGGUAACUACCCAGAAAGGGACGGCUAACUACGUGCCAGCAGCCGCGGUAAUACGUAGGUCCCGAGCGUUGUCCGGAUUUAUUGGGCGUAAAGCGAGCGCAGGUGGUUUAUUAAGUCUGGUGUAAAAGGCAGUGGCUCAACCAUUGUAUGCAUUGGAAACUGGUAGACUUGAGUGCAGGAGAGGAGAGUGGAAUUCCAUGUGUAGCGGUGAAAUGCGUAGAUAUAUGGAGGAACACCGGUGGCGAAAGCGGCUCUCUGGCCUGUAACUGACACUGAGGCUCGAAAGCGUGGGGAGCAAACAGGAUUAGAAACCCGGGUAGUCC